CCAAAACGAACUUGAAGUAAAAUACUUAGCGUUCAAUUGGAGUAGGUUCUGAAGCUCUUAUUAAGUGUUGCAUCCAGAUAUUGAAUAUUUCUUUUGGAGCAGAAGCAGAGGUCCUUAUUUCAAUCCGAGGUCGAGGAGAGGAGAAGGUAGGUCAACGAAUUUCCGUCCAGGGUUCGGUACAUGUAACAGUAGUUGUAAUAAUUUGUAGCCGGUCUGAGGAUCACGGGGGAAAGCCUCACAAUAAUCCAGCAUUUUGAAUCUGGCGCGGUCUCCCUAUGUAGCGUGAGGAGACCGCGUCAGAGAAGGGGGCGUGGCUGUGCUCCGUCUACCCGGAAGUGCCUGGGAAAUGGCGUAACCGACAGGUAUAACCUGACAAUACCAAAGAGCUCAAUUUUUGGUCUCAUCUGACCACAACACUUUCACCCAGUUCUCCUCUGAAUCAUUCAGAUGUUCGUUGGCAAACUUCAGAUGGGCCUUUACAUGUGCUUUCUUGUGCAGGGGGACCUUGCAGGCGCUGCAGAAUUUCAGUCCUUCACGGCGUAGUGUGUUACCAAUUGUUUUCUUGGUGACUAUGGUCCCACCUGCCUUGAGAUCAUUAAUAAGAUACUCCCGUGUAGUUCUGGGCUGAUUCCUUCACCGUUCUCAUGAUCAUUGAAACUCCACGAAAUGAGAUCUUGGAGCACCCAGACCAAGGGUGACUGACCGUUAUUUUGUGUUUCUUCCAUUUGCGAAUAAUUGCACCAACUGCUGGUCUACAAUCUUGUCCCUGACAUCUUUGGACAGCUCUUUGAUCUUGGCCAUGGUGGAGAGUUUGGAAUUGGAUUGAUUGCUUCUGUGGACAGGUGUCUUUUAUACAGGUUACAAGGUGAGAGUAGAAGCACUCCCUUAUAAGUAUUUGAUUCCCUAUCAAUCAGCAAGAUUUCUGGCCCCCAGGUGUCUUUUAUACAGGGAACACUCUGUAUAAAAGACACCUGGGAGCCAGAAAUCUUGCUGAUUGAUAGGGAAUCAAAUACUUAUUUCACUCAUUGACAUGCAAAUCAUUUUAUAACUUUUUUGACAUGCGUUUUUUUUUUGUUUUGUUAUUCUGUCUCUCACUGUUAAAAUACACCUACCAUUAAAAUUAUAGACUAAUCAUUUCUUUGUCAGUGGGCAAACAUUCAAAAUCAGCAAGGGAUCCAAUAUUUUUUUUUUUUUUUACCUCACUGUAGCUAAUACAGUUCCAUGACGUACUGUGCCUAAUUCUCUCCCUGUCCACCCCCAUAUAAUUGUGUUCAUGAUGUCUUUAUUCUAAUCUCACAAAUGCUGCUUACAGUGUGUUGUGUGUAUGGGUGCUGCUUGUGAUAUUGAUGCAUUCGAUGUGUAUAUAGUGCCUGUGUAUGAGGGUAACUGUGUGCGCAUUAGGACUGACUAUAAUGGUUGCAAAGUGACAGUGUGAGUAAGUGAGGCAAGGUUAGUGUUGGGGUGACUGUGAUUGGGGGCUGAGUAUGGCAGGCAGGGCCAUUGCAAGGAUUCUUGGCUACACAGGAAAAAAAAUCAUUUUUUUUUAGAUGUGUCUUUCUUUACCCGCCCCCCCCUCCACCCUAUUGGUGCUUUUUGGUAAUUGCAAAGUAUGCCCAAUUUUAGCAGGCAAUGGUAGCGCUGGGUCUGGUGGCAGGGUGAAUAUGGGGACUUAAUUUGCGUGGGUGCAGUGACAGAACUGCAGUACUGCCACUAUGAAGAGAAAUUUUUUUCCCCUCACUUUUCUUACACUACCAAUCACCCUGCACAGUCCAGAAGAGCGCCCACACUCCAAAACCACCUGGUGACUAGCCUCACAGGGAAAGCCGUGAGCCUCCUAGAGGUCACUCUGAAUGGCUGUGUGGAACUCUCUAUCAGAUAACCGGGUGUCAAUUGAACACCGUGAGUGCAAGAGGGGGAAAGCUAUCCGGGAAAAGACCUGUGUUGCUUAAUUAUGCUUUAUAAGUGUUUUUGAGGUAUACUGUAAUGGCAUCCUGAUAUCUGGGGGAUAAUUAACUUGGCAUUUACAGAUCUAUCUCCCAGACACAGAGGCGGCAGGAUGGGAUUUUCAUUGUUCAAACCAUGGUCUCGCUGUUGUGGUCGUGUGUAAAAAAAAUAAAAAUAAAUGUGCCGUGUUCUUAAUAAAACAGUUUUUAUUCACCCUUCACAAAGUCUCGACUAGUGUUUGGGUGAGACAGCUAUAAUCACGUUAAGUAUCCAGCGCUUAAAGAGUGGGACCCUUUUGGAGAAACUCAAACGGAGUGCUCAGGCCAUUACAUCAAGUAACAGCAACGAGAUCUCUUCUCUCGCUCUGGGGAUACCCUUGGAGGAAAAACUAUGGUUGGUCAUCCUCAGCAGAAGAUGCAGAGUUGAUGGAGUGGUGUAAUGAGAAACUAAAGAGGAGCACGCUGAAGGAACUGCUGGAAGCAAGAGGUCAAAUUGCCAACAAUAAACCUAAAACCGCAUUGAUUGCAGCACUUGUGGAGGGUGACUGGGGCAGAAACCCGUCCACCAGCUCCUUCUCUAAUGAGACCAAUUUUCAGCAGGAAAUGCGAAACCAGCUUGCAUUCUAUGGUCUGAAUUCAAUGAUUGGAUGUAGUAAAGAUUGUGAAUGCCUCACAACAAGUGGCUCAUGAGCAUUAGAUUAUGGCUGCCCGAGAUUCAAGAACUUCGAGGGAGUAAGGCAUCUUCAAAUGGAUCUUCGAAUAGGGGAAAAAGCAAGAUGCAAUUUGCUGCCUUUAAACCCUUCCUGGAGACAGACCUCAACGGGUCUGUGUGACUUUGAGAGGCAUUAUACCCUUCACGAAAUUGACCCACAUGAUGGGUCUCUAUUUUGGCAGUUAUUGGGGUUGGCAGCAGAGGCAUACGCACCAUUAUGGACAAAGAUAUAAUGAAGUAUGACAGAGUGAAAGAAACAUCACUGGCAUGGUAUGCUGUUACCCCAGCAUACUGCUGCCAAUUACGGGACUCAAAGAAAGGGGAGAAAGUCUCUCAUGCCGAGUGGGCCUGUCGCUUCCACAGGGCAGCAGUGAACUGGAUACAUGGCUGCCAGUCUACCACUGUGGCGAAUGUGGUGCAAUUACUGUUAUCUGAGCAAUUUUGAGGUUUUUUUUUUGUUUGCCUAUUGCGAGGUGCCGCAGGAAUUGACAGGGUUCUUCCUGUUUGAAUUAUAAUAUGGGAAGGAAUUACUAGUAGGAAAUGUAAAUAAUUUCAUGGCAGUUUGUGGGUUAAUGUAGGUGGACCGUGCCCAGAAGUCCCACUUUACUAUUUCUGUGCAGUUGUUUAUGAAUGGGUGAGUGAAUGUGUGUAAGUAUAUGUUUAUGUCUUUGAGCAGCAGAUGGCCGUUUUCCAUGUUAUCUUCUCUAAUAGCCCCCUGGUUGUGGGGAAAUCCAAUUAAUCAGCAUGUUAUGGCAGCAUGGAGGUGUUUACUUUGCAGUGUAUGCACAUGCUUAGAUCAGAGGUCAGGAGAGACAAUUACAGGCAUGACUGAAUGUGGAUCGACAAUUUAUUGAAAUGGUUGGCUGCAAUACAUUAGGGUGAGGGUACUCUCACAAACUGCACUUAUGGGACAAGUCAGCUCUGUUUUAGUGAUCAGUCAUUCAGAACGUUUCAGUCAAAUACAAUGAAAAACAUGUCAGCCUCCCAGUGUUUGGAAAACAUACUACAGUGGUCAGUUUGCAUCAGUCGAAGAGCAUCUAGGACCAAGCAUUUAAUUUAUUGGGUGGUGAAAAAGCCCUGCUCAUUGAAAAGGCCACAUUCUCUUUCCAAUUUUGUUGUAGGUCUGCAUUAAUUUUCUGAUAUAUUUAUUAUUUGAUGCCCAAAAUAAAUGAGUUCGGAAAAAAAAAUGCAAGAACUCAAAAUAUUUUUAGAGAUAUGUCCAAAUAUAAUGAGUUUAGGCAUUAAGGCUUAAUGGUACAAUAAAGGAGAGGGAGAACCCAUCUCUGUUCAAACUCUGGAAAGAAAAGACUGUCCUCUCAUUCCGGCAGUUCAUUUGUUAAUAAGCCGCACUGUAACCAGCAAAGUUAGUACCAAAGCUACUUCUCUAAAAUUCUACCGGAGUAUAGCAUCAAUCUUCCAAUCAAUAAAACCAGCUGAAACUAAGCUAGCCAUAGCCAAAUCAGGAACAAAUUAUAAGAUAUUAGGUGACAUGUGAGUUAAAAUGAUGAAGCCUGUUGAAUAUGAAGUGUGUCACUAGAUGCUAUUAUAUACAGGCAAUGUUAUUUCCUAAAGUAGGAAUUCAAACUAAAUUUCAUUGAAGGCCAAACUGAUUUGGAAAAUGUUUCCAGUUUGGCUAUUUUGAUCUUAUAAUAUAGUAUUAUAUAUACCUUUCUAGUAUAUAUUAAUAUACAACUUUUAGUAUGUAUGUAUGCAUUUAUUGCUGCAUUUUUUUCAUUGGGGUAGAGCUAAAAACAGCUUUCAAAAGCUGCAAAUCUGAUGACUAUAACCUUUGCAGGCCCUCCUCUUCUUCACCAGCUAAUUCUUUCUGUGGCUGUCCAAUCACAGACUUCCCAAUGCAGCUUUAUGAGAAGACUUUGCAAAGCAGGUGCUGUGCGCUAUUGCCCAUUGAGCAAAACAAUCCGGAUGUAACAGGAAUGGUUGUCUGACAGUCAGGGAAAUUUGCACUUUUUGUAAAAUGAAAGAGGACACGUUUCACACAUUUAACACUCCAGCAAGAGUAAGUGCUUAUGGUGUUUGGAGUGUUCUUUUAAAUUUGAAAUUAAUUUUGAAUUCUCACUUUAAAUAACCGUGUUGGCCUUAUAUGGAUGAAUAAACACUAAAGAAAACUCGAUUACUCCAGAUCCAUGUGUAAGUUACCUUCUUAAAAAAAUGCAACACUUACUGUAACUUACUGUAUGAUUCAGUUUUCAAAUGCAACAGAAAUUCGGAAUAUUCCAGAGACUGUUAUUAGUUUUUACUACUUAUUAUAAGUUUCUCUAUUUCUUUAAUACCGUUUCUUUGCUUUGUUUUUUUUUUUUUUAAUACUUUUCUUCCAUUAACUAUUUUUAUUGUGAUGAUAAAAUGUUUAUCAAAGUAAUUUUAAUACUAUGUUGUGUAGGGCAAUGUCACAUUUGACAGGUUCUGUUCUGUUAUAAAAUUAUCAAGUAAAGCAACACUGACUCCAAUUUGUUAUACAAGUCAUUAUAUCUACAAUGCAAUCUUUCAGUGUGUCCAUCAGAGGUGAUAUCUGGGCUGUAGAAAUAAUGUUAUAUAGUCAGUAGGGACUAUUACUUUAAGGGUUUCUCCAACUACCAUGACCACUUCUGCUUUUAGACAUAGACAUGAUGGGAAGAGUCUGUAUGUGCAGUGUUUCUGCUUGAAACUUUGCACAUACAGAGAUAUUUGCACUUUUGUGCCAGGGAUUAGUUGCACCGAUGGCACAUGCAAACUUUACGAACAUUACAUCUGUUGUCAACGAGCACUGUGCACUGGUGACAUAUGUAAUGAGCUUCUCCCUUGCAGGCAGCAUACCCGCAAUCGGGAGCUUCAGUGUCCCGUCCAUCUGGUCCUUCCUUGCCUCCCCUUUUAGGUUUAGUAUAUAGCCUUUUUAAAAAUCCCACCCUCACUCCCUUCCUUUCCUCUCUGGUUCAGAGCAUGCACAAAAGCAGUGAUGUAGAUGUUUGCAUGAAAACCAGCGCAGAGAGCUUUGCCUGGCGCUGCAUUUCAAAUAUGUUUGUUCUUAAUUUAUAUGGUUUUACAGGUGGGGGGGAGGAUUGCUAGUAUCCAUUUAAAAAAAAAAAUACUCCGGGCGGGGCCGGACCGCCGAGUUGGUCGGUCGCAAGGGUGAUCAACUCCGGCAAAUCCCUCUACUUUAAGCCUAUAAACCUACGAAUUUCAGCCUGAAAGCUGACCGACAGCUCUGGUCCUUGCCCCAAAGGAGGCACUGUAUCCAGGGAGAGGCUGGCUCCUUGAGCUUCAGUCCCCUGGAGGAGGAAUCUUUGAAACCCCAGAUGGGGCCUACUCCGGCGGUGAGUGGGGCGGACGGUCGCUGCCCCACUAUCCCGCCCAACGAUGCCUGACCUGAAGGCCCGGAGCAGAGUGGAUCUGGCCCUGUUCCCCCCAUGGGAGUAGGAACCCAAAAAAAUCUGGGGGGGAUAGCAUUUUUACUCGCCGAGUAUAUUCUUAUUCCGUAAACUAGGAGUUGUUUAUCCCAUUGUACAGCGCUACGGAAUUUGCAGUUGCUAUAUAAAUGAUUAAAUAAUAACAUUAAAGGGUCACUACAGGGAAGGGAUUUUACUUACCCGGAUACAGCGCCGGGAUCCUCCUGAUGCCGCGCCCCCUAUUUCGUCAAAAUGACGAAACAGGAGGGUGCGAGCAGGGAGCAAUAAAACACUUCUAUUCAGAAGCGUCAUUGCUCUCUGAUGCGGAUGCGCAGCUUUGCCGCACAUGCGCAGAUACUUCAUAGGGCGGCAUUCAUGUCUCGACUAGGAAGCACCUCUAGUGGCCACCUGAGUGUCCACUAGAGGUAUUCCUCAGCAGUAAUGUAAAUACUGCCUUUUUACGAAAUGGCAGUGCUUACAUUAAAAAGCCUGCAAAGACGUGCUAUAGACACCAGAACUACUACGUUUAGCUGUUGUGGUUCUGGUGACUAUAGUGUCCCUUGAAUAUAGAGAGGAAAAAAGAAUCAUCACAAAUGUCAGAAAUAAAAUGUCUGUAUCAUUAUUCUAAAAAUUAUUUAAAAAAAAUAAAUAUGCACAUUCCUAGCUUAAUUUUUAGCAUGACAUAUGACACAAACAUUUUGUACUUUGCAGAUUACUUUUUAUAUUUUUUUAUACAUAUACAGAUUGUGUAAUACUGCCCCUGACUUAGGGUGACCACAUUUCCUAACUGCCAUUCAGUGACACUUUCAGAAAUGCAUUCCAUACAUUUUACUACCCGUCUCUACCCCUUCCAUUUAUAUAAGAACCCCUUUCCAUGUAAAUUAGAGAUUAGUGCCACGAAUAAUAUGCUAGAUUGCCUACUUACAACCAGAUGAGGAUGAUGAUGGGCUCUAGCUGCAGUCUGGCUCCACUGGUCUGGUGUAGAGCAGCUCCAUUUUUUGGGGGCCCUUUACACAGCUCAAGGUCUGGGUCCCAGGGUCCACCUUCAUGUUCGACCAAUGAGUUUGUUCACAGGGGGUGGAGUGUGUAGGGGAUGUCCUGAUAUGUGUGUAAGGAAUGCAUUGUGUGAAUCUGUGUUUGUAUGUGUAAGGGCUGCAAGGUGUGUUUCUGUGUAUGUACGGGAUGCAGUGUGUGCGUCUGUAAGGGGUGCAUUGAGUGUGUGUACGGGGUGCAUUUAGUGUGUGUAAGGAAUGCAUUGUGUGUUUCUGUGUGUUUAAGGUUUGCAUGAUUGUACGAUUGUGUGUGUGUGUGUGAUGGAUGUCAAUCUUUCUCCCCUCCCUUGUCACUCUCUUUCUCCCCUCCCUCCCUCCCUUGUCACUUUCUCCCCUCCCCUUGUCACUCUUUUCCCCUCCCUUGUCCUUUUCCCCCCUCCUUGUCACUCUCCCCCCUCCCUUCACUCUUUCUCCCUCCCCCCCCUCCUUGUCCUCUUUUCCCCCCCUCCUUGUCACUCUUUCUCUCCCCUCCUCCCCCCCUCCCUUGUCACUCUCUCCCCCUCCUCCCUUGUCCUCUUUCUCCCCCUCCUCCUUGCAUCUUUCCCCUCCUCCUUGUCCUCUAUCUCCCCCUUGUCCUCUUUCUCCCCUCCCUCCUUGUCCUCUUUCUCCCCCCUCCCACUCCUAGUCACUCCUCUCCCCCUCCCCCCCCUUGUCCUCUUUCCCUCCCUUGUCCUCUUUCUCCCCCCUCCCUCCGCCCUCCUUGUCACUCUUUCUCCUCACACCACGCUGCCCUCCGGUCACUCUUUCACCCCCCACCUCAGUUGUAGCGUGGCCGAGCCCAGUAUAGUCCACGGGUACAGGGAGCUUUUGUUUCCUGUACCCGGCCAGACUUACAGGAAGUGAACACUCAGUGUUCACUUCCUGUUAGUCCGGCCGGGUACAGGAGACAGAUGCUCCCUGUACCCGCGGACCAUACCAUAGAGCGCUCGGCCACGCUACAGGGAGGGAGUGACAGGAGGGAGCGCUGAGCGCUUCCCUCCUGUCAGCCCCUCUCCCCAUGCUGCGCCCGGGCGGUGCGGUCCGCCCUCAUGGACGCACCGCCGGGCAAAGCUGCAGCCGCCUGAGGUUCUCUACAGAGUGCUCAGGCGGCUGCAGCAUGGGGGGGGCGGUGGGGCUGGGGGGGAUUUCCCCAUAACCUGUCCCCCCCGCAUGAUUUGCUGGGGGGGAUGCGUCCCCCCAUCCUCCCUGGUUCCUACGCCCAUGCUGGAGAGGCGCAUGGAGGACACCCCCGAGUAGAGACUCAAAUGGAUGUCCUGCCUGAGUGUCCCGCCGAACUACACCUGCAUACUAUGGGCACUACACAGGCAAGAUCCAGCACCCAUGAUGAACUGACCACAGGCCCCCGAGAUGACCAUGUAACUUCCCACUGCAAAGUAGCAGCUCUGUCCUUAAAUGUUUUACUCCCACUAGCCACUUGACAGGAUGGAAUGGUGGCCUGGUGCCAUUAGUAUUAAAUCAUAAUGUGGCUGCGAAAAGUUACACCUGCAGGAUAUUGUGCCCUUAGUUUAACUCAGCUAGACCGGUGAGCCUCGGUUAGCUACAGCAUGCUAAAUUGUUUUAAAGUAUUCUAUUCUGUGAAAAGCGCCCCACUACUCUCUGCAACAGGGCCUGGUCUCCCAGUGGCAAUAACAGUUUGUACCUUUCUAAGGUUUCACUAGCCUAUUAUAAUAACCUGUAACAACGCAAGCUCCUAGCAAACCAUGUCUUAGACCCGAUCUUAGUGAUGCUAAACGGUUGGCCAUCUCAACAAGGGAUAUAAUGCAUGUCUGUAUACGCUUGCGCUGCGACUAAUUCUUGUUUUACGUUUUAAACCAAAAAAUGUGUGCAGCUACUCAUGACAUACUGAGUUUAUACUUGAAGCCUGUAACCAUUCAUAAUGCAACUUAAAUCUAUGUCAAUGUUACGCAAUGUUUGUUUUCAUUGCACUCCAAAAAUAAAGAAUAUAUAAAAAAUAAAAUAAAAAAUACUUCAAGCACUAAAAGCACUACAGUCCCUGGCCACAGCUCUCAAGCCAAUUUGUAUUCACCAGCUCAACAUGUUUGUAUCGAAAUAUACAGUCAUAAAAGUAGCCUACAUAUUUUUUUCUCUAAGCACCAUAACCACUACAGUCAGUUGCCAUAGUUAUGGAGCCAGGAGUGCCCUGGCAAUCUCCCAGUGUAAUUUGCUAAACUGUUUUAGAACAGGUUUAUAUGUUGCUUGGGACCCGCUGGGUGCCCACAGUUCCAUCCGCUGCUUUUGGAUUCUCUGUGCAGGAAAAUCUAGUUGGCUCCACUGAACUAAGCAGGCCUGUGCUUAUUAGCUGAGAGUGCCUAGCUGACGCUAUAAGCCAAUGAGUACAUUCUGUAUUGGCAGUGUUUAGGAGGCAGAGUGACUCUUCACUUGGGUCUUAUUAGUGUUGGCAGAGACACUUGCCUUACUAGCACUAUUAUAAUGAUGUGUGUUAUCCAAAAUAACUGGGUUUAACCAGGUGACUGUACUUAGUUACUGGGCAUUAUGUUCAUAUACAGACAUUAAAAACAUUAUCAAAAAAAUGCAUAAUUUUCAAAUAUAAAUUUCCAAUUUAAUUUAUUCAUUUUGUCUUGAGUACUAUUUGAGAUAAAUUGCAUUUCUGUUUUCAUGCUUAUUUAUUAGGACUGAGGUUGUUUCAAUAGCAGUGGUAUUCAAUAAUGAAAUGUUCUGGGUAGUAAAUCCUAACAUUUGCCUUUUCUUUGGCUAUUUUGAGCCAUGACUAGGCUAUUUGGGUUAAGCACCUUAUCACCCAUUACAAGUGUCCAGUCAUAUAAAUUGUAGGAGAGAUGUUUGUAACAGAAAGAGAACAAUAAUGCAGGUAAGUAAUGCAGCCUGGGACAUACUAAUAUCCCAUAUUGGGAUACACCAAUGCUGGGAUAUUUUGACAAAAUAAUGUGUUUAACAUUGUGUGACCAAGGGAUAUGUGAUGGAAUCCUUAUGCUUUUUACUUGAUACAGGUAAUUAUAAAAGAAUAUUAUAGCGUUAGGAAUAAACACUUGUGUUUCUAAUGCUAUAGUGCCCUAAUCUGUAUUCAGAUUAGACUGCAAUAAAAAUAUUUUUUAAAGUUUUACUUACCGUUUCUUACCUUUUUUUCCAUCGUGCUGCUCUCUCCACCUACCAUGAUGUCAAGUGCUCGUGAUGCAAAUCCAGUCAAAUGCCUCUCAUAGGAAAGUGUCAAAAGGACAAUAUAGUCACCAGAACAACUACAGCUUACUGUAGUUGUUCUGGUCAGUAUUGUCAGUCCCUGUAGGCUUUUUGCGGUACUUUACAUUGCUGCUUAGGGACACCUCCAGUGGCCACUCCUCAGAUGGCUACUAGAGGUUCUUCCUGGGGCAGUGUGCAACACUAACAUUUAGUGGCUCCACCCUCUGCAUGGAGACACUGAACUUUUCUCAUAGAAAUGCACUGAUUCAAUGCAUCUCUAUAAGGAGAUGCUGAUUGGCCAGGGUGGCUUUCACGGAAGCUCCUGUGCCACAGCCUGCUGGAGAGGCAUAACAGCUAGCCUCCUUCCCACAGACUAUGUUCCUGGUCACAUACUUUAAAAUGAUAUAUAGGAUAUAGAGGUUCAUUGUGUUAAUGGUGAGUUAUUAUGUAAAAUGUUGAGCUGGAUGAAAGCUAUUGUCUUAAUUGUAUUAUGUAAAAGCUAUUGUGCUAUGUGUCUAGCAGGAAAUUAAGUUAUGUCUUGACCCAGUUAUGUCCCAGACACCAAGACACAUGGCAAAUGAGUUAGUUUAUACUGAAACCAGACUUCCAGGCCAAUUAUGUGUGACUUCUCACACCUCACAGAGUAGCACUGCUUCAAAGAGAAAUUUAGGUUGUAAGCUCUGACCUCCCAUACAAUCAAAUUAAACCCUUUUGAAAUUGACAAUACCACCUCUACCAGGCAGCCAGUUCAUAUAUGCACGAACUUCACUUUUGUUUUACCGAACUGAUCUGAGCGCUUUUUGGAUAUGUUGUGCGCUCAGAUCGGGGCUAUUCUGGAAUAAAAGUGUUUGUGGAGUUCCGAUGCUGUUAUGUAUUUUUGUGAUAUGAAAAAUUGUAUGUAAUUUUUCCUAUGUGAGAGAUAAUUGGAUUAGCUUAAUUGGAGCUCAAUUAUCUCUCAAACACAAUGGUUUGUGGGAAGGAAAGCCCUGUGAUUUUUGUAUUAGAAAUCCCGCACUGCAUAAGAAGCAGAGUGUGUCCUAAUAAAGUUCAGAUUGCUGCUUUUACCCAAUACAAAUGGUUGCAUCCAUUAUAUUGGGGGAAACUCUACACAAAGGGAAUACUUUUACUAUAUUCAGCACAUCUGGAAUUAGGACUAGUGGAGGAUUCCGGGAAUAACAGCAAUAGACUCACAAACCCAUGACAGUGACGUUUGGCCCCGGCCUGCCUCUUUGGCUGAGAUCAUCAGAAUUGACAAUCUUAGCCAAUCCAAUGCUUUCCUACAGGUAAGAUUAUAUUUAGGGAGGGAAAUGGGGGACGAGGUGGGCUAGAUAGUGGUUUUAACACUAUAGGGUCAGGAAUACAUGUUUGUGUUUCUGACCCUAAAGUGUUCCUUUAAACGGAAUUCUUUCCUAUGAGCUGCAUUUGAUGACAUUUGAAGUUCUCAUGGAUGUUGAACAUCACAUGACCAAGUUUCACUUGGUUGUUACAUAGGAAGCACCUCUCGAGACUGUCAGGAAGAGAGCCACUAGAGGUAUGUUUAACCCUAUAAGGUAAACAUUGCCUUAAAAAAAAAAUAAAAAAAUAAUGCAAUGUUUUAAAUUGCAGUGGUAAAAGUACACUGUCACUGCACCCAAAACACUUCAUUGAGAUGAAGUUGUCUGUGUACAUUUAGUGGUUUUUAAAUAGUUUAGAAAGAUGUGAAAUUGUAUAUAUUUUUGGUAUUUUUAAUGCUUCAAAUUUUUCAAAAAAUGCUAUAGCGACAGCAUAACUUCAAAAAUAAAACAUAUGGUAAAUAAAAUUGUGUAAGUUAACAUUAUUUAAUUUUUUUCAAAUCUUUGAAGACUAGAAACAAUCACUAUUUAUUAUGGGUUUCAAAUAAAUGCAGCACUAACAUUUUUAAAAAUAUAAAUAACUUGGUAGAGAACUCAGAGGUCCAAUCUGUUUGGAAAUUGAGAAACAGUUUCUAUUUCCAUAUGAUCAAUACCAGCACUUGGGUAUUAUUUUGACCCACACCAGAACUCAAUGCAUCACCCCUGCUUUAUAUUACAUAGGUACAAGGGUAUAUACACCUGAGGUUUUAAUUUGUGAUGUCCUGAUGCCCUUACAACAAAUGAGAAGAUAGCUCAUUUAAUGUGUGAAACAGAGAUGAUAUUUUCUUAACUAUCUUAAAGCAUUAUUUUACACUCAAGAAUAUUAACUUGCCAAUGUCAACAAUAACAGAUGGCGCUCAGAUGUUUGGCAAGUCUAGAAAACUGCAGUAGAAAUCUCUCUUAAAGGGUGCUGCUGGAAUGUGGCAUGUCCAUGGGAGUUCACCUGGCCAACCCUCACAUGGGCAUACAAUCAGAGAGAAAGGAGAGACUGUACUGUAGCCAAUACUUAUCCUUUUAGUUUGCUGCACUUGGACUUCUAGUAGGCUUCACUAGAGCCAUGUAGCUCAGAACAUAGUAAUUAUGCUGUAUGUAAUGAAAAGUGUAAUUAUCAAUAAGAAAGUCAUCCUACCAGCUCCAGGAAUAUAAUGGCAGUCAACAUAUAUGCACAUAAGGAGUCAAUCCUUUGGUCCAGGAAAACAAAUUGGGUUACUUUGCUUUUUCAAUGCAUCCUGAAAGGGUAAAAUAGCAACAUCAUCUUCAUCAGGACACAGGCAAUUGCCCAUAAUAAGAUGUCCGCAAUGGCAUUCUUGCAUUCCCCAUAGCAGUGGGGAACCCUUAGAAACUGGUAAGGGUCUAAUGAUAGUAAUUGGCAAAAUCUAGCAGAUAUAUAUUCAUAAUAAGUACAUUACAAUAUUACAGCUGGAGAAAGCGUCAAUGAGCUCAUUUUAGAAAUGAAGAUAAAUGUUUAAACUACUGUCAUGUCUGUGUGAGCAAUGGCUAUAAAGCUCUGCUAUUCAUCAUUUCCCACCUCUUGUAAACCCUUAUACCAGGUGUCCGGAUGAAAGUAAAUGUUAAAAAUGUUUAGUGAGAUCCACUCUUUCACCAAUUCCUUUGAUACUUCAUUGAAUAGAGAGUUCUUCAGAACCCAUGACCAAAUCUAAAUAAACUGAUGUUUUCCAGUCUGCCAUAUCCCCAUGAUAAAAUAAUGAACGAGCCAAAAAUCCACCAAUUGUCUUGAAUAGCUAUUGUACCUUUUCUCUACAGGUACAGACUAACUGGCAUUAAACAUAUCAAAGUCAAUCAAAGCACAGAGAUGCCUUACAUUUGUCUGAGAAUAUUGAGAAAUGUUUCAUAACAGUUAUGUGUAAGUAAAAUCCUUUAAAAAUAAAUUAUUUUAAUACUUAAAGAAGCACUAUAGCAAAGUUGUAUUCCAAACACAAUAGUGUCCGUGUCUCUAAUUAGAUUCAAUACAAGAAAAGGGUUGGGACGGCAUAUGUUUGGUAUAGUGACUGUGCCUCCAGUAAAGAGGUGACAAAACCCCAGCUGUAGUAUAUAAUAAAGAAAAGGAAUGGGCACAGGUCUACAAUUCAGACCGGUAUAUUGGACGAAGACCAGCAAUGUUUCGGCUCCUGAUAGAGCCUGGAUCAAGGCUAAUCAGCUAAGUAGAUUGAAGGCCCCUCCCUUUGCUGUUUAAAACCUGUAAAAAAAAAAAAAAAACAUUUUUUACAUGCCCUUUUCCAUUGCCAAGAUUUCCUCGGCACUGCUGCCUGAUCCGCCUCCUGCGAUGUCCUCAGGAAGGCAUUGCUUCCUCAUCAUUUGUCCAAUUGUUCAUCAGACGUGCAUGCGUGGUGAACACGCAUCUAAUCAAAUGCUUCUAAUAGGAAAGCUUAGAAGGAGGACAUUGAACGUCAUGUGACUAAGUCCAAUUUGGUUAUACAGCAGAAACUGCCACUAGAAACAUGUUUAACAGGUUUUCUGCAAAACGGCAAUGAUUUAUCUUGAAGGGUUAAAAAUGUAGACCAUUGCAUCCAGACUGCUUUAUUGAGAUUAAGUGGUCUGGGUGACUUUAGUGUUGAUUUAAAGGAAUGAUGCCUAGGAAUUAUAUUAUGUCAAUAGACAUCAAUAUCAUUUAAAAACAAAAAUAAAAUAAACAGCCCACAAAAUAGCCAUAUAAUUUGGUGUCUAUAAAAUAAAUACAUUUCAGGAAAUUGCCAAUGUGUUACUUUCCCGAGUCAAAAACACAGAGGAGCCAAAAUAAUUGGCUAGCUGUUCCAUCACAUGAACUUCUGUGCAUUGUAUAGUUACACUGGAUAUUAUUAAGUAUUAAAAUAGUGUUUUAAUUAAAACAAAGUUUACACUAAUUUUUAUCACUCAUUACUGUCCAUCAGAGUGAUGACUUUUGUAAUAGAGAGGGCUUUUGGUAGGCUUUUCCAUGUUUGUUGGAUUAUCAGCGGUACUCCAUUCACUAUUUUGUGGUCUAUAUUUACUGCACAUAGUGGAGGUAGGUGGGGAGUCCACCGUUAUGGCUGCCACCUACUAGUUUAGCCGGGUUUCUGAGUAGUUUUGCACUAGUGCUCUAGGAAAUAAAAAAAAUAAAAAAAGGAAAACAAGACAAUCGUAUUUUAGAGACUCCAUGAGAGGACAAAAUCAGAAUUUUCAAUCAAGGCUGUUGUAGCCUACAUCUUCAUCAUGAACACUGCAAGCCGUUGUUGACAAUUCCCUGAGUACCGGAGGUACUCUGACUGCACCUCAAUGGUAUUGAUCUCCUACACUGUAAAAUAUCAAGUGCAAGAUACUUAUAUUUCAGGUCCCCUGUUAGAUAUUUCUGAAUGAUAAUCAAAGGAGAUGCAUGAUUGGUGUAAGUUAGAAGGAAAAGUAUGUGGAGCACAACACAACAAGAUCUCUUACCUUUCGCAUUUGGGUGGGUUCCAUUCUGCACCUGUUAUCCAGCAUGAGGGCACUGAAGACGUAAGGUGUGUAGGAAGUACAAUGGUGUGCACCUUAUAACUUGUCAGUAGCUGUUCACGGUGCUAAACAUUCAUUAAUAUUCCAGAGUCUUUGCCAGUCCCUCUCAGCUGGUGUCCUCUCCUUUUAAAAUGACUUCUACCUCUUUACUUGUCCUUCAAAAGGGUUCUGCACUCUUCCAUAAAAAAAAAUUAUACGUAUGAUAAAAUAGUUCUUAUUCAAUAAGCAGUUUGUAAUAGGAUAUUUCUGUCACUUUAUAUUAUUACAGGCCGCAAAAGAGUGAAUUCAGAAACAGUGAGCACACAACCUGGUCUUCACGGUCUGGCAUCCAUCUGAUGAACUGGAGGACUCUACCCCUUUUUAUGCUUUACUAUCAUGAGAGGAAUAUAACACAGCCCAGGAAGAAUUAAUGCAUUCUCCACCCCUUCCAUACAACGUGACAGCUUGCUAUUUAUAGCCAAAUGCACUGAGCAUUAAACCUGCUCACCUGUUUCUUAGAGUAACUGGUGUAUUUAAUCCAAUCUGGUUGAUUCGCUAAAAUGAGAAUCGUCAGGAAUUCAAAGUGAAUUUUAAAUUUUAGAUCACAUUAACCAAACUGGAAAAAUGCAAACUAUGUUUUCAAGUCAGCUGUUUUGGACUCAAAUAUCGCAUUUACUAUGAAUCUGCCAAUUCAUACUUUAGUGACUAGCCCCAUAUCUGCAAACGUGUACCUGUCAUGGUACACAAAAUGUAUAUUCAUUUUGAAGAGUGUAGCAUUUAAUCUAUACGAUUAUAGGUAAAUGUAUAGAUUUUCAAUUAUUUUUUUAAUUAAAUAUAAAACUGCCUGCCCACCUGACAAUCAACCUCCGCCAUAGACACGGGCACAGAGUCUAUGCUGAAAAUAAAGUGAACUAAAUGAAGCAGGAGAACCCUCCUAACUGCUGUGUCAUUGA